UGACAUGUUACAUAAUGCACAUGUACACACAUACGUAGUCACUAUCAGCCUAACUGGGAACUUGGUGGGAAAAUGUGAAUUUCUGUCAACCAACUGAUAGAACUUGGAACAUUGGUUUCUCAAAACGGCCCUGUCGUCCAUGGAAACCAAACAAAGUGUACAGUCUUGUGACACUUCUGCUGAUGCCGGUGGUGGAGUUGACUGAUAGCUAGUGACCGUGAUGAGUACAGUGGGUCAUGCAGAAUCAGAGGAAGAUGGUUUUUCUGUCAAGAGAAGAAAUCAAGUUUAGGAAUGAUUCUUUCCUGGAUGAGCUAUGUGAUAUUCCACGCUGCUCUGUUACCAAGGCUAAACUGAUUGACCAGCUGGAAGCA